AAAANNGGACUCCUUGAUCCCAAGCGCCUUACAGUUUAACAGAUGACAUAAUCUUAAUCUAACAGACGGCCCCCAUANCCACCCCUAGACCAGGGCUC
rnacentral:rRNA from 1 species